GGUUGAUCCAAGUGCAGCAGUGUUUACAGCUAAUUGAUCACAAUCAGUUACAGGUUCCUUGGUUCCUCUUCCACUCCCACUGCUUCACUUGACCAGCCUUAA
rnacentral:Y_RNA from 1 species